rnacentral:tRNA from 1 species
GGACCGGUAGUUCAGCAGAAUGCCGGCCUGUCACGCCGGAGGUCGCGAGUUCGAGUCUCGUCCGGUCCGCCA